rnacentral:lncRNA from 1 species
AGUAUCAGCCUCCCCAACUUAUAGUCGGUUAUCACAACUGUAAAUCGAUAACAAGUGAUAAAACAUCAAAGUUAGACCGACAAAGGACUGCAGUGCAUCAUCCGACUUUAUAUAUCAACAUCAGAGAACAGAUAGCCGACUGUCAAUCGGUAAGUUGACUGAUAGUCGACAAUUCUCAAUCAACUUUUCGAGCGGGUGCAGAGUGACUACAAGGCCUAUCCUUCGACUAACGAUCGGUGGCAUGAACACAGAUAUCUGACUGAUAAUCGGUUACAUCGAUAUAUAGUCGAAAAUUCUCAAUCAGCCCCUUAGCAGGACCAAAUCAAUCAUGCUGAUCCGAUCGACUUCAUAAUCGAUGGUCAGUCGAUAUAUUAGAGUCACAGACCGAUGGUCAUUUGGAUU